UACGUAGGAGGCAAGCGUUGUCCGGAGUUACUGGGCGUAAAGGGCCCGCAGGCGGUGGAGUAAGUUUGGAGUGACAGUUCCCAGCUUAACCGGGAAAGGACUUCGAAAACUGCUCGGCUUGAGGACUGGAGAGGAGUGUGGAAUUCCCGGUGUAGCGGUGAAAUGCGCAGAUAUCGGGAAGAACACCCGUGGCGAAGGCGGCACUCUGGGACGGUACUGACGCUGAGACGCGAAAGCGUGGGGAGCGAACAGG
rnacentral:rRNA from 1 species